rnacentral:lncRNA from 1 species
AAUUAAAAUUAAUAUUUAAUUAUAAAAUUCUCUCGCACUCUUUUUUGUGUCUCAAAUAUGUCUCUACAUAAAAAAUUUAAAUAAUAUCAACUCUACACUUUAAUUCUGUCUCAAAUAAACCCCUCCAUUAGUUUUUUUUUUUUAAUUUAUUUUAACGACAACAUAUUGUGGUGAUACACCUUCAGCCAAUUUAAACUCAUUCAAGCACACCUUUUUUUAAGUUCUAAAUAUUUAAAAGAAAUCAUAAAAAGGCGUUCAUGCGAGGGAUUCUCUUCAUCGAGUGUGCGAACGUCAUCGCCGUUGAAACUUCUAUUAUAUGGAAUUCCAAAUUAUUGAAUCUAUUUGAUAUGAGACUAAAGUGUGGGAUUGAAAUUAUUUAAAUUAUUUUAUACAUAAAAUAUUUAAGAUGUGGAGUAAAGUUGACAAGUGUGUUUUUUUUUUAUUUAUAAUUAAGCGUAAUAAAAAUGGAAUUGAUGGCAGAUCACUGGAUCGUCCGGGAAUUAAGCUCCAGAUAAUAAUUUAUCAAUAAAAAAAAAUAUU